GAUGAACGCUGGCGGUGUGCCUAAUACAUGCAAGUCGUACGCAUUCUCGUUUCUGAUUGACGGUGCUUGCACCUAAUUGACGAGACAUUGGAAUGAGUGGCGAACGGGUGAGUAACACGUGGGUAACCUGCCCCAAAGCGGGGGAUAACAUUUGGAAACAGAUGCUAAUACCGCAUAACCACAGAAACAACAUGGUUUCUGUGUCAAAGAUGGUUUCGGCUAUCACUUUGGGAUGGUCCCGCGGCGUAUUAGCUAGUUGGUAAGGUAAUGGCUUACCAAGGCAAUGAUACGUAGCCGAACUGAGAGGUUGAUCGGCCACAUUGGGACUGAGACACGGCCCAAACUCCUACGGGAGGCAGCAGUAGGGAAUCUUCCACAAUGGACGAAAGUCUGAUGGAGCAACGCCGCGUGAGUGAAGAAGGUUUUCGGAUCGUAAAACUCUGUUGUCAGAGAAGAACGUGUGCGAGGGUAACUGCUCGUGCAGUGACGGUAUCUGGCCAGAAAGCCACGGCUAACUACGUGCCAGCCGCCGCAGUAA
rnacentral:rRNA from 1 species